rnacentral:rRNA from 2 species
AAAGAGUAACGGAGGAGCACGAAGGUUGGCUAAUCCUGGUCGGACAUCAGGAGGUUAGUGCAAUGGCAUAAGCCAGCUUGACUGCGAGCGUGACGGCGCGAGCAGGUGCGAAAGCAGGUCAUAGUGAUCCGGUGGUUCUGAAUGGAAGGGCCAUCGCUCAACGGAUAAAAGGUACUCCGGGGAUAACAGGCUGAUACCGCCCAAGAGUUCAUAUCGACGGCGGUGUUUGGCACCUCGAUGUCGGCUCAUCACAUCCUGGGGCUGAAGUAGGUCCCAAGGGUAUGGCUGUUCGCCAUUUAAAGUGGUACGCGAGCUGGGUUUAGAACGUCGUGAGACAGUUCGGUCCCUAUCUGCCGUGGGCGCUGGAGAACUGAGGGGGGCUGCUCCUAGUACGAGAGGACCGGAGUGGACGCAUCACUGGUGUUCGGGUUGUCAUGCCAAUGGCACUGCCCGGUAGCUAAAUGCGGAAGAGAUAAGUGCUGAAAGCAUCUAAGCACGAAACUUGCCCCGA